rnacentral:rRNA from 1 species
GACGAACGCUGGCGGCGUGCCUAAUACAUGCAAGUAGAACGCACAGUUUAUACCGUAGCUUGCUACACCAUAGACUGUGAGUUGCGAACGGGUGAGUAACGCGUAGGUAACCUGCCUGGUAGCGGGGGAUAACUAUUGGAAACGAUAGCUAAUACCGCAUAAUAUUGAUUAUUGCAUGAUAAUUAAUUGAAAGGUGCAAUUGCACCACUACCAGAUGGACCUGCGUUGUAUUAGCUAGUAGGUGAGGUAACGGCUCACCUAGGCGACGAUACAUAGCCGACCUGAGAGGGUGAUCGGCCACACUGGGACUGAGACACGGCCCAGACUCCUACGGGAGGCAGCAGUAGGGAAUCUUCGGCAAUGGACGAAAGUCUGACCGAGCAACGCCGCGUGAGUGAAGAAGGUUUUCGGAUCGUAAAGCUCGGUUGUAAGAGAAGAACGGGUGUGAGAGUGGAAAGUUCACACUGUGACGGUAUCUUACCAGAAAGGGACGGCUAACUACGUG